GGGUUGUGAGGUUAAGCGACUAAGCGUACACGGUGGAUGCCCUGGCAGUCAGAGGCGAUGAAGGACGUGCUAAUCUGCGAAAAGCGUCGGUAAGGUGAUAUGAACCGUUAUAACCGGCGAUGUCCGAAUGGGGAAACCCAGUGUGAUUCGUCACACUAUCGUUAACUGAAUACAUAGGUUAACGAGGCGAACCGGGGGAACUGAAACAUCUAAGUACCCCGAGGAAAAGAAAUCAACCGAGAUUCCCCCAGUAGCGGCGAGCGAACGGGGAGCAGCCCAGAGUCUGAAUCAGCUUGUGUGUUAGUGGAACGGUCUGGAAAGUCCGACGGUACAGGGUGAUAGUCCCGUACACCAAAAUGCACAGGUUGUGAACUCGAAGAGUAGGGCGGGACACGUGGUAUCCUGUCUGAAUAUGGGGGGACCAUCCUCCAAGGCUAAAUACUCCUGACUGACCGAUAGUGAACCAGUACCGUGAGGGAAAGGCGAAAAGAACCCCGGCGAGGGGAGUGAAAAAGAACCUGAAACCGUGUACGUACAAGCAGUGGGAGCACCUUCGGGUGUGACUGCGUACCUUUUGUAUAAUGGGUCAGCGACUUAUAUUCUGUAGCAAGGUUAACCGUAUAGGGGAGCCGCAGGGAAACCGAGUCUUAACUGGGCGUUAAGUUGCAGGGUAUAGACCCGAAACCCGGUGAUCUAGCCAUGGGCAGGUUGAAGGUUGGGUAACACUAACUGGAGGACCGAACCGACUAAUGUUGAAAAAUUAGCGGAUGACUUGUGGCUGGGGGUGAAAGGCCAAUCAAACCGGGAGAUAGCUGGUUCUCCCCGAAAGCUAUUUAGGUAGCGCCUCGUGAACUCAUCUUCGGGGGUAGAGCACUGUUUCGGCUAGGGGGUCAUCCCGACUUACCAACCCGAUGCAAACUACGAAUACCGAAGAAUGUUAUCACGGGAGACACACGGCGGGUGCUAACGUCCGUCGUGAAGAGGGAAACAACCCAGACCGCCAGCUAAGGUCCCAAAGUCAUGGUUAAGUGGGAAACGAUGUGGGAAGGCACAGACAGCCAGGAUGUUGGCUUAGAAGCAGCCAUCAUUUAAAGAAAGCGUAAUAGCUCACUGGUCGAGUCGGCCUGCGCGGAAGAUGUAACGGGGCUAAACCAUGCACCGAAGCUGCGGCAGCGACACUAUGUGUUGUUGGGUAGGGGAGCGUUCUGUAAGCCUGCGAAGGUGUGCUGUGAGGCAUGCUGGAGGUAUCAGAAGUGCGAAUGCUGACAUAAGUAACGAUAAAGCGGGUGAAAAGCCCGCUCGCCGGAAGACCAAGGGUUCCUGUCCAACGUUAAUCGGGGCAGGGUGAGUCGACCCCUAAGGCGAGGCCGAAAGGCGUAGUCGAUGGGAAACAGUUUAAUAUUCCUGUACUUGGUGUUACUGCGAAGGGGGGACGGAGAAGGCUAUGUUAGCCGGGCGACGGUUGUCCCGGUUUAAGCAUGUAGGCUGGUUGUCCAGGCAAAUCCGGAUAAUCAAGGCUGAGGUGUGAUGACGAGGUACUACGGUGCUGAAGUAACAAAUGCCCUGCUUCCAGGAAAAGCCUCUAAGCAUCAGGUAACAUCAAAUCGUACCCCAAACCGACACAGGUGGUCAGGUAGAGAAUACCAAGGCGCUUGAGAGAACUCGGGUGAAGGAACUAGGCAAAAUGGUGCCGUAACUUCGGGAGAAGGCACGCUGGUGUGUAGGUGAAGUCCCUGCGGAUGGAGCUGAGACCAGUCGAAGAUACCAGCUGGCUGCAACUGUUUAUUAAAAACACAGCACUGUGCAAACACGAAAGUGGACGUAUACGGUGUGACGCCUGCCCGGUGCCGGAAGGUUAAUUGAUGGGGUUAUCCGUAAGGAGAAGCUCUUGAUCGAAGCCCCGGUAAACGGCGGCCGUAACUAUAACGGUCCUAAGGUAGCGAAAUUCCUUGUCGGGUAAGUUCCGACCUGCACGAAUGGCGUAAUGAUGGCCAGGCUGUCUCCACCCGAGACUCAGUGAAAUUGAACUCGCUGUGAAGAUGCAGUGUACCCGCGGCAAGACGGAAAGACCCCGUGAACCUUUACUAUAGCUUGACACUGAACAUUGAGCCUUGAUGUGUAGGAUAGGUGGGAGGCUUUGAAGCGUGGACGCCAGUCUGCGUGGAGCCAACCUUGAAAUACCACCCUUUAAUGUUUGAUGUUCUAACGUUGGCCCCUUAUCGGGGUUGCGGACAGUGUCUGGUGGGUAGUUUGACUGGGGCGGUCUCCUCCCAAAGCGUAACGGAGGAGCACGAAGGUUAGCUAAUCCUGGUCGGACAUCAGGAGGUUAGUGCAAUGGCAUAAGCUAGCUUGACUGCGAGCGUGACGGCGCGAGCAGGUGCGAAAGCAGGUCAUAGUGAUCCGGUGGUUCUGAAUGGAAGGGCCAUCGCUCAACGGAUAAAAGGUACUCCGGGGAUAACAGGCUGAUACCGCCCAAGAGUUCAUAUCGACGGCGGUGUUUGGCACCUCGAUGUCGGCUCAUCACAUCCUGGGGCUGAAGUAGGUCCCAAGGGUAUGGCUGUUCGCCAUUUAAAGUGGUACGCGAGCUGGGUUUAGAACGUCGUGAGACAGUUCGGUCCCUAUCUGCCGUGGGCGCUGGAGAAUUGAGGGGGGCUGCUCCUAGUACGAGAGGACCGGAGUGGACGCAUCACUGGUGUUCGGGUUGUCAUGCCAAUGGCACUGCCCGGUAGCUAAAUGCGGAAGAGAUAAGUGCUGAAAGCAUCUAAGCACGAAACUUGCCCCGAGAUGAGUUCUCCCUGAGACUUUAAGUCUCCUGAAGGAACGUUAAAGACGAUGACGUUGAUAGGCCGGGUGUGUAAGCGCAGCGAUGCGUUGAGCUAACCGGUACUAAUGAACCGUGAGGCUUAACCUUACAACGCCGAAG
rnacentral:rRNA from 1 species